rnacentral:tRNA from 2 species
ACUAUUUUGGCAGAUUAAAGUGCAAUAAAUUUAGAAUUUAUUAAUGUAAUAUUUAUUACAAAUAGUA